CAGAGCUGUGUCACUGAGCCUCAGUGGAUUUUAUUCACAAUUUCUUCUUUCUUUUUUUCUUGUAGGUUUAAAGAAUGAAGCAACAACUCCACUAUGCAGGAAGGUGCUUUGGCAUUGGGUUCUUUGUGGGCAGAGUGGCCUCUCUCUUUUCUAUCAGGUAGAUGGUCCUGUCACCCACACUGGCUUCUUACUCUGUUGUGACCCUUUUUCAAUUUCAACACAGAAGACUUCCCCAUCCUUGAUUCCCAGGGCCCGGCACCGUGUGACUUCUGGCUCUUCCCCGAAGCAGGAUGACAAUGCAAGGUAAACAUUCUGAAUCAACUCAGGACAUCAAGGCAGCUAUAACAACACAACUCAAGACAUCCAUGAAAGAGGACUCCAGAACUGCUUCAGAAAGUGGAGGCUGCAAAGAAGUAAAAGGCAGUUCUUACACAAGUCAAGCUUGGAGCCAAGAGCCUGGCCCAGGGAUGGUAACCCUGAUUAAGAGUAAAGAGUCCAAACAAGACCAGGAUGUCCACAAUCCCCACUCCUGUUCAAUAUAGCUUUGGACACAUUAGCCACGGCAAUUAGACAAGGGAAAGAAAUAAAAGGAAUAAAGAUAGGAAAGGAAGAAGUCAAAUUGUCAUUAUUUGCAGAUGACAUGAUGUUCUAUAUAGAAG
rnacentral:lncRNA from 1 species